rnacentral:rRNA from 1 species
GGCUUAACACAUGCAAGUCGAGCGGAUGAAAGUCGCUUGCUACCGGAUUCAGCGGCGGACGGGUGAGUAAUGCUUAGGAAUCUGCCUAUUAGUGGGGGACAACGUUCCGAAAGGAGCGCUAAUACCGCAUACGUCCUACGGGAGAAAGCAGGGGACCUUCGGGCCUUGCGCUAAUAGAUGAGCCUAAGUCGGAUUAGCUAGUUGGUAGGGUAAAGGCCUACCAAGGCGACGAUCUGUAGCGGGUCUGAGAGGAUGAUCCGCCACACUGGGACUGAGACACGGCCCAGACUCCUACGGGAGGCAGCAGUGGGGAAUAUUGGACAAUGGGGGGAACCCUGAUCCAGCCAUGCCGCGUGUGUGAAGAAGGCCUUUUGGUUGUACAGCACUUUAAGCGAGGAGGAGGCUACCUAGAUUAAUACUUUAGGAUAGUGGACGUUACUCGCAGAAUAAGCACCGGCUAACUCUGUGCCAGCAGCCGCGGUAAUACAGAGGGUGC